rnacentral:tRNA from 2 species
GCCGAGGUAGCUCAGUUGGUAGAGCAAUGGACUGAAAAUCCAUGUGUCGCCAGUUCAAGUCUGGCCCUCGGCACCA